GCCCGUUACGUGUUGCGCUCGAGUGAGCGGACUUGUCCAGAGCGUCUGUUCCCUCACCGAUUGAGGCCUAUUCAAUUUUUUCAUAAUUUUUUUUUCUGGUUUCCGAUUUUCUCUAAUUUUGUACUUGGAUUACUUUCGGAAUUUUAAAUAAUAAAUAAAGAUGAUUGUCUGUUUGUAUCAAGAUGUCAAUGGAUUGGGUCUGGACCGGCACACCACAUU
rnacentral:lncRNA from 1 species